GCAAUGCCGCGUGCAGGAUGAAGGCCUUCGGGUUGUAAACUGCUUUUGGACGGAACGAAACGGCGAGCUCUAAUACAGGUUGCUAAUGACGGUACCGUAAGAAUAAGCACCGGCUAACUACGUGCCAGCAGCCGCGGUAAUACGUAGGGUGCGAGCGUUAAUCGGAAUUACUGGGCGUAAAGCGUGCGCAGGCGGUGAUGUAAGACAGAUGUGAAAUCCCCGGGCUCAACCUGGGACCUGCAUUUGUGACUGCAUCGCUAGAGUACGGUAGAGGGGGAUGGAAUUCCGCGUGUAGCAGUGAAAUGCGUAGAUAUGCGGAGGAACACCGAUGGCGAAGGCAAUCCCCUGGACCUGUACUGACGCUCAUGCACGAAAGCGUGGGGAGCAAACAGGAUUAAAUACCCUGGUAGUCCAGGCCCUAAACGAUGUCUACUGGUUGUUGGGUCUUCACUGACUCACUAAAGA
rnacentral:rRNA from 1 species